rnacentral:rRNA from 1 species
CCUGGCUCAGGGCGAACGCUGGCGGCGGGCCUAACACAUGCAAGUCGUACGCGGGGUUCUCCUUCGGGAGAACUGCCGAGUGGCGAACGGGUGCGUAACGCGUAGGUAACCUGCCCUCGAGUGGGGGAUAACUCCGGGAAACCGGGGCUAAUACCGCAUAUUGUCCCGGGACCGCAUGGCUCCGGGAUGAAAGCCCUCUGGGCGCUCGAGGAUGGGCCUGCGUCGGAUUAGCUAGUUGGUGGGGUAACGGCCCACCAAGGCGACGAUCCGUAGCUGGUCUGAGAGGACGACCAGCCACACUGGCACUGAGACACGGGCCAGACUCCUACGGGAGGCAGCAGUGGGGAAUCUUGGGCAAUGGGCGAAAGCCUGACCCAGCCACGCCGCGUGGAGGAUGAAGCCCUUCGGGGUGUAAACUCCUUUUCUGGGGGAAGAAAUCCCGGCUCUGGUCGGGACUGACGGUACCCCAGGAAUAAGCGCCGGCUAACUCCGUGCCAGCAGCCGCGGUAAUACGGAGGGCGCAAGCGUUGCCCGGAAUCACUGGGUGUAAAGGGUGCGUAGGCGGGGCUGUAAGUCAGAGGUGAAAGCCUCCGGCUCAACCGGAGAAUUGCCUCUGAUACUGCAGCUCUUGAGUCCCGGAGAGGCCGCUGGAAUUCCUGGUGUAGCGGUGAAAUGCGUAGAUAUCAGGAGGAACACCGGAGGCGAAGGCGGGCGGCUGGACGGGGACUGACGCUGAGGCACGAAAGCGUGGGGAGCAAACAGGAUUAGAUACCCUGGUAGUCCACGCCGUAAACGAUGGAUGCUCGGCGUUGCCGCCUUCGGGCGGCAGUGCCUAAGCUAACGCGGUAAGCAUCCCACCUGGGGAGUAC